AGAACGAACGCUGGCGGCGGGGUUUAGGCAUGCAAGUCGAGCGAGAAAAGCGCAAGCUGAGUACAGCGGCGUAAGGGUGAGUAAUGGGUAGUCAACGUACCGGGCAGACGCGAAUAAUUUCCCGAAAGGGAUUGUAAUGCGCGAUGAGAUCACGGGCUCUACGGGGCUUGGGAUCAAAGGUCGGGGAUCCUUCGGGACCUGGCGCUGUCUGAGCGGACUACCUCUGAUUAGCUAGUUGGCGGGUAACGGCCCACCAAGGCGAUGAUCAGUAGCCGGCCUGAGAGGGUGUCCGGCCACACUGGGACUGAGACACUGCCCAGACUCCUACGGGAGGCUGCAGUCGCGAAUCAUUCACAAUGGACGCAAGUCUGAUGAUGCCACGCCGCGUGCGGGAUGAAGGCCCUCUGGGUUGUAAACCGCUGUCAAGGAGGGAACCGCGGAACGUGAAUAGCGUUCCGUCGUGACUGCUUUCUAAAGGACGCCCCGG
rnacentral:rRNA from 1 species